rnacentral:rRNA from 1 species
GAUGAACGCUGGCGGCGCGCCUAACACAUGCAAGUCGAACGGUUAAAGCACCUUUUAGGUGUGUAUAAAGUGGCGAACGGCUGAGUAACACGUGGGCAACCUGCCCUCCUCUUGGGGAUAGCCUCGGGAAACCGAGGAUAAUACCCGAUACUUCAAUGUGGCCGCAUGACGACAUUGAGAAAGCUUUUGCGGAGAAGGAUGGGCCCGCGGCCUGUUAGCUUGUUGGUGGGGUAGAGGCCUACCAAGGCAAUGAUGGGUAGCUGGGUUGAGAGACCGACCACCCAGAUUGGGACUGAGACACGGCCCAGACUCCUACGGGAGGCAGCAGUGGGGAAUCUUGCACAAUGGGCGAAAGCCUGAUGCAGCGACGCCGCGUGCGGGACGAAGGCCUUCGGGUUGUAAACCGCUUUCAGCAGGGACGAGGCGAUAAGUGACGGUACCUGCAGAAGAAGCCCCGGCUAACUACGUG